rnacentral:lncRNA from 1 species
CAUCAAUCACACUACUGUGGCUACAUACUUAUAGACUUAGCCUCUCAAAUCUUAUAGGACCACAUCUUUCUAUUAAAAUUGAUAUAUUCCAUCUAGAUGUGCAUCCUACUCCUAUAGCGGAUCAACUUUCGCCAACAUACACUACAAGGACCAAAUGGUUAAGAGGCCAUAUUUCUAUAUAGUCAAACUUCAGCGACCUCACUAUGAGCAAUCAUGCCAUCG